AAAGCUGGGCCAGGAACAGCAGAGAUUUAGGAUGAAAUAAAAUUUAAACCCUUCAUUUAGCUCCGUGACGGUGGAUAUCAUGGACACAUCAAUGAAGUCCCUGCCUCAGUUCCUCAGCUGUCAAAUGAGCUCUAAGCGAAAGACAUGAGGCCUAAGACUGACAAUGAGGUUGUUUUGAGGCCAUCUGAUUUCUGACUAGAAGGUGUGCGAUCGCCUCGUCCUGAAACCACUUCAGACACAAUGGUUUGCAAUUUUUUUUGGUGAUGGCAUGUUCAGAAUCUUGGAUCCCUAAGUUGAAUAUGUUGGAAAUAUUUAGGAACCCUGGAAAUUGUUGUUUUUGCAUAUAUAAUGACUCAGUAGGUAAAUCAGUAGAUAUAAUAAAAAGUAUAUAAAAGAAUAGGUUUAUAAGUCUGUAUUUCUAAGUUGGCAUGCAUGUCUCAAAUUCUCGGCUGUCAGUAUUAAUGUCGUACCCCAGAGACAGUUAUCUUUUGAAGAUCUGAGGAUUUUUAUGGGCCUCAUAUUUUCCCAGACAGUUGAUAUAAUCCUCCCAUGUCGAUUUGGUCAGCUUCUUUUUUUUUCUACCUACUUUGCUAGUGUAGCUUACUUAGAGCAGAGAUAAUUACUUAUGAGGAAGAGGGAAGAGAAAAAAAUCAUGAAGUGGAAAUCCUAAAGGUAGUAAUUAUAAAAUUUCAACCUGGAAGUGGCCUCAGAAUGGUCUGUGUUUAGAAUAUGCAAAUUAUACCCAAAUUAUACCCAAAUUGCUUAUGGCAAUUGCUGUCAAUUUUUGAAAUAGAUACUGUUACGCAGCACAAGUGCUAAUGAGGAGGGAAGAGAGCAGUUCAUUUUCACCUCCCUCUCCUCCCUAUUGUUGAGUGAAUGAAUUCCUGGAUAGUAAAAUGGCCAAAGGGCAGAUAGUGUGAAUGAAGAGGAGAAGGAACAAAACUUUAAGCCCAAGGAUUAUUUCCCCUUAAAAAAAUUGAAAGUUGGCUGCAUUCCAUGUACCUCAACACACUUUUAAAACUAGGCUGCUUUCAUGUAGACCCAGAACUUGAACUUGGGCAUUCUUAGCCAUAGGAAUGGAUGGAGACCUGUAUCUCAUGUGAUACCAUACAGUCUGUGGGUGACCGGAGUGCCAUUGUCCAUGGUUUUCUUUUUCUCUGCCCUAUUCUUGCUGGAAUUAAGAGAUGUGAGGAACAAUCUGGGGCAGAUAGUUAUUUUGAUGGUCAAAUGUGACUGCCUCUUUACUCUUUUGACCACAACUGGGGAAAGAUUGAUUUUUAUGGCCAUAACCAGAGCAAGUUGAAAAAGACUCAGAAGGAAAGGAUGAGGAGAAUUCAAGGAACUAUAGAGACUGAGUGGUAGGUAGCUCAACAGAGUAGAAUGUUAGUUAGUUUUAUUGCUGUUAGUUUAUCAUUGUUAGAUUAUCCUAUAUUACUAAUAUCCUAUAUUAGUAAUAUAGAAAUAGCUGUAUAAAAGAAAUUUUUUUAAAAAUAACAUUUCUGUUAAAAGGCUUUUAGAAACUAAAUCAGCUACACCAUAACUAUCACCCUUCCCCUUUGCUUUGCUUUCCUUUAAAGGGAAUCGGCUGACAGAUAUUUAAUAUAUGGCACAAUGAAAAUGUUAGAUUUUUUUAAAAUCAAGUUAUAUUUUUAUUUUAAAUGUAUAUUGUCUAUUUAGCUGCUUUUCCCUAUUACAACUGGCUUUUUAAAAACUUUCCUUCUGUGAUACUUUUGUCAAUAGAGGUAUUUCCUCUUAGCCAAUUCUAGCCACAGUAUUGACUGGGCCUGAGCAUUUGAUAUGCCCAGAAGGAAUUAGACAGGCAGGAAAAAACUUGGUCCCUCCUAGAAUUAAUAUUUUAAAGACCUUCUUAGAUUCUGAACACUGAGUACAAAUGAAUGAGACCCAAGAGAGGGAAAAAUUUAAGAGCUUAAGAAUAAAAAAUGAUGGUGGGGGAUGGAGUGUGUACUCUUAAGUAACCUAAGAGAAGGGAAUCGUUUUCCUGGAAUUAGGAGGUAGUGUGCGGAACCCCGGGGACAGUGGGUAUUGUGAUCUUAGUUCGAGUAAUUCACACUAGUGCGGUAGUAUUUUAAGGAUCGUGGCAGGUGAUCUUGGGAAACACUGAUGCAUUUCCUGACAGUGGAUUUGAUUUCGUUCUGGUAUGUUAUAAGUGUACUGUGUGACUCAAAGAUGAACUUAAUUCAAAAUAAAUAUCUUAGCUGUCAGAGAAAAAACUAUAAAAAUGAGUCUUUUGUCCGUUGUAUAACUUUCGAAAAUAAUGUAGAAUACUGAGUAUAUAGUACAGAAUUAAUAACAUGAAUUCAAUUAGUAGUUCAUGUAUGCUUUCCAGAAACUUCUAAAUAAAACCUUAAAUUUGUUUAAUGUUGGCCUCAGUUGUACUAAACAGUAUUUUAGUACAUGUCUCAUGGGAAAAUAUGCAUCUUCUUGGGUCACCACACUUAGUCUGUCAUAUCACUGUGAGAAUUCAGAAAUCUGACUCAAUUUAUCCAAGGAUGAACGGGUCUUUGUAAGUUGGGUACAGUAAGUACGUAUGAACGGGCACACAGAAAAAGUGAGCCUUGAAGAAUGGUUCUUUGUAUUUUGGAAGUUUUAGACCAAAAUCCGAAGAAAGCUACGGAUCCUUUCCCCAACCAGACUGCAACUUCUGAGGGGAAAGGGACAGCCCUUCAUUGUCAGGCCAGGAAGCCCUGAUCUAAAUGAUCAUCUUCACGUCUGACCUGGCUCUGACUUUGUUGUCACUUUCCAAUAGUGGUUCUCUAUCACCUUUGAAUAAAGCAUCAGAUCUUUACGGUCGCUUACUGCCUCACACGUUGAACAUUAGCCAUAAGUUUAGAGCUUUGUCAUAAUGGAACAAAAACACCCCGCCAAGCGCUUCCACCCAAGCGAAAGUGGUGAAAAGAGCCACGCCCUCCUCGGUGGUGCCACCUCCUGCUAAUGCAGGGCGCCCGUUUCAUGGUAAUUUGAUUGUUAAUGUUUUGUUUUUAAAAGUGAGCGUGUUUCUUCUAAAAUUUUUAAUUAUUAUAAAAGGUUUUUACCUCUUUUUUCAUGUCUUAGGAUAUCAAAUCCGUGGUUUAAAAUGUGUACUUGAAAUUAACAUAGUGACUUGAAAUUUGGAAUUUUGUUAUUUUGUGAUUCUGAAAUUUGUAGCACAUUUUCAGGAAAACUGUUGAGAUUCCCGGGUAAUUUGUUCUUUGUUUCUUUCAAGUUUCCUGAAUGUAUUAUUAUUUCUGAAUUUUAUUAGUCCAUUUAUAAGUUUAGAGAAAACUCUUCAGUUCAUAUGUUGACACAAAAUGGAUGAAUUUGAUUUAUAUUAUUAGAAAUGUGUUUUGACAAAAAUUUCCAUUUGAGUGGCUCUAAUCUCCAGAUUGGAAUCUCAGAUCACCUGCUUGUUAUGUCAUUCAUUGGGACUUUUCUGCAUAAUACUGCUUCACUGAGAAGUCAUCCUUGAAAAAUAAAGAUAUCCGAAGAAACUUAUUUUGGGACUGAGUAGAGAGAUUGAAGAGCAUCAUCAACUUGACAACACAGAACACUCUGGAAACAUCCUAGACUGUAUUGCUUUUGUACUUGAAACACAAUUUGACUGUCUUAUGAAUUGGACCUAUAGAUAUAAAACAGCCUCAUAAAAUGUAUCUUUAACAUAAGAAGAACACAAGUCUAGCCUUUAAAACACUUCUGUCAGUGCAGUCUACUCCUGAUUAAUUACAUUGGUGGAGGAGAACCUGAUCAUUCAUCUUGUCUGAAAGUUAGACAGUCACGUAUUCUGGGUUUGAAGGUGUUUUGUAUUUCUUUUUGGAAUGUAGUAUUUGGGGCUUUUACAACGUGUGCCUCACAAUUUCACGUUCCCUGGGAGAGGAGCUUGAGUUAAUCCAUGUCCCGAUACUUGUUCUCUGUCCUCUUUUGUACUGUCGACUUAAAUGUAGGGGAAAUAUCGAGUGUAUAGGAUUCCAAAACUGACUAGAAUCCUGUUAGGUUUAUCCUGCUUACCCUCCCCACGUAAUUUUGUUGCAUUUCCUUUCCACCUCUAAUAAAUGCUGCCCAAUUUUAGUCCCUUUGUUAGGUCGAGAUAGAAUUGUAACCACACUGUCGAGGCUUCUUCCUCCUGUUGUCCUGUUUCAUUCUGCCUUCGAUGGGAGGUAUUCAGUUGCCACUUGUGUCUUUUCAUUUCCAUGUUCCUUUCUGCAUGUUCUUAUGGGGAAAUAAAAUAGGUCUAGAUUUAGAGAUAUUGGCUAUCCAGCGUUUGCAUAUAAAAAUUCAUAGCACUGUAUUUAAAAUUUAGCUUUUUAGCUGUGGUGUUGACAGUAGUCUCCAUUGGUCAUCUGCUCAGUGCUGGACACUGCUGGAUGUGGUUGUCUACUCUUCUUCUCCACCACCCUGUUCUCUUGAGGCCAGGAAUGAACCUCUUCAUGCAUCAGGCAGGGGAAGAACCAGAACUGACUUCUAUGUAAAAUAAAGCUUGCUAGUUCUAGAGUCAUGAGUUAAUGAGAUAAUUAAAGAGAUCCAUGUGUUCCCCCUGGAUGCUAGUAAAAACAAAUCACGUGCAGAGGGAAGUGAUCAAGUCAGUGAGAUUUUGAAAGCAAGAUUUGUCCAAAAAAAAAAAAAAUCCAAAUUUUAGGUUAACCUAGAGGAACCCACAUUGACUAUUCAGGUAUGUCUUUGAAAAAUAGCAUACUCCUUUAAAAACAUUACCAAAUUACCUGACACAUUCAAAAUAUGAUAUUCUAAAAAAUUUUUUACACAGAAUUUUUCAGAAGCACGUGCAAAUAUGUUUGUGUAAAAGUAUGUACGAUAUAUAAUCACUUUCUGACUCUUGCUCUAAUAAAAAACUUUUAAAUGGUCUCAUUGUUUAAGAGCUAAUAGCUUGAAAUUAUUCUCAGUAAAAUUUUACAGCAUAUGAUACUAUAUUUUACUUUUCAUGUUAAUGUACACGUAUCUUUAAAAGAUGCUUAGAAUUGUUUGUUUUCUACAUGUAAAAAUACUGUAAACAAGGUCCAUGUCUCCAGUAAGAGUUUCUGAACUUUUGGCUGUAAUUACUAGGUGAUUGGGCUGAGGCCGGCUGGAAAUGCAUGUUGAGCUUUUCUAUGUAUGUGGCAAACUCUGUGCAAAUAAAGUAGCUUUGUACUCUGAA